UACGUAGGUGUCGAGCGUUAUCCGGAAUUACUGGGCGUAAAGCGCACGCAGGCGGCAUGGAAAGUCGUACGUGAAAGCUCCCGGCUUAACUGGGAGAGGACGUAGGAAACUAUCAGGCUGGAGACAGUGAGAGGAAGGCGGAAUUCCCGGUGUAGUGGUGGAAUGCGUAGAUAUCGGGAAGAACACCAGUGGCGAAAGCGGCCUUCUGGCACUGUUCUGACGCUGAGGUGCGAAAGCGUGGGGAGCGAACGGG
rnacentral:rRNA from 1 species